rnacentral:misc_RNA from 1 species
GAUGAAGAACGCAGCGAAAUGCGAUAAGUAAUGUGAAUUGCAGAAUUCAGUGAAUCAUCGAAUCUUUGAACGCACAUUGCGCCCGCCAGCAUUCUGGCGGGCAUGCCUGUUCGAGCGUCAUUUCAACCCUCGAGCCCCCCCGGGGGCCUCGGUGUUGGGGGACGGCACACCAGCCGCCCCCGAAAUGCAGUGGCGACCUCGCCGCAGCCUCCCCUGCGUAGUAGCACACACCUCGCACCGGAGCGCGGAGACGGUCACGCCGUAAAACGCCCAACUUCUUAGAGUUGACCUCGGAUCAGGUAGGAAUACCCGCUGAACUUAAGCAUAUCAAUAAGCGAGGA